UGGAAAAAUAUUUUUCUUAAUUGAAUUUGGUGUAAUUAUUAGGAAGGGCAUUUUGGUAAUAACCCAACAGCAUGGGUAUUUUCCUAACUUACAAAUAACGGUGCUUCUGUGGUAAUGACACUUCCUCGUGUCUUUUUCCUUUACUUCUUAGCUUUCCCAAUAUUAUGCAAACGAUAAGCACACCAAAACAUACGACGACUCCAAAAGGAGAGAAAUCCCAAUUGCGAUUCGAUUAAUAUUGUGACCCAAAUUCCGACGACUUCGCCGAUUUCCGGAGACUCUCCGGCAAUUUCUCUCUGUCGACUAAUUCUCCGGCGAACUCACGGCUGAGAAAUCUAUUUACUUGGAUUCGGAACAAUGAUGAUGAAUGUAGGAAUGCAGAUGAUAGAGUCUAAUGGUGCUGCUGGAGGAAGUGAGAUUGUUGCAAAAUUAAUUUACCUCUGUUUCUUUCUUUAUAUAUAUAUAUAUCCUUUUUUAUUAUCUCCAGAGUUGGAAUAAUCAAGUUAAAUUUUUGAGAACGAUUAUUUUGGAGCUCGACUUUUGCUCUAUUCCAGGUAAACUCAUAGUUUAAAGUUAGUUUUAUAAUCUGUUUACAAUUAUAGACUUUAUGAUCCACAUAGAACAGAGAGCGUCGUUAUCUUUCGACGACUUAAAGGCUCUCACUAGCAAGAAAUUAAAGUUGUGAAAAGAUUAAAUUUGUGAUAUUGUCCAACAAAUCAGAUCUAAACGGAAAAAUGAUUUAGAAUGCUUAUUUAUACUUCGUUGGAUUGUUCUUAAAUAUGCAGUUUUAGUUAGUGGACUGACUCUGAUUUGUGUUUUUUUUAAAAAUAAUUAUAGACUUUUAGAUUAAUAGAUAGGGAGUUUUAUAUACUAUCAAAGGGUAUUGGAAAAUCUGUGUAUUGGUAUGAACUUUGUCAUACCCUCUUCUAUAUUAGUUAGCCCUUCAAGGUAUCCUUGUACCAUUUUUUCUAUUUGUAUAUGUGCGCUCACUUUUUCCUUCAAGUAUGAAUUCGGGUGUGAUGCCAAUUUUUUUUUAAUUGAUUUUCUAAAUUCUUUAGAACAAGCACCGCUAUUUUGUAGUCACCAUAUACCUUAAAUUCACUAUGCACGGUAGAUAUUCGAUGAAAUUCCUAUGCCAUAUAAAUAGUAUAGGGAUUCAGCUUUUCUAAUUAAGUAAAUAAUUAGUGUGAGAUGGUGAGAAUGCCUUUCUGUACCGAAAUAAAAAAAAUCUUUUCUUGGAUUAGAUAUUGUAUAAGAUGGUUGCGAUUUGAAUAAGUGGAGUGGAUAUUAAUCUUCUCCUUAGUUUUGAGUUUGAAGUUUAACAAUUAGUUCGAACUUGUCCAGCUCUGCUACAACCUAUUAAAUCCAUUUCUGUUUUCCUUGAUUAUAGUUUGUCAUUGCCGUCCUUUGCUUUCCACUACUUGGUCUAUGUUUUGGUCGAGGUCAUUAUGAAUUGGUUAGAUUGCUAGACAUUAGUGAGUUUGUCUCAUGUCUUUGCAGCAGUUUUAAUUUUCGAAUAUGUCAUCAGCCGCCUACUAGACUUUCUUUAUCCUUUCUGUAUACUUUAUCCUGUAUUGUUGCCUAUUUACUUACUGAAAAUUGAGAGCAGUCGGUUUGAAUUUGAACAAAGUCUCACUUAUCUUCGUGUUAUAAAUAUUUUCAAGUUAAGUUCUCAUUGUCUUUGUUAUUGUGAUUUUGUUUGAUGACUGUUUGUGAGAGUGCUAAGAUCAAUAUUUGCUUGGCACCACCACUUGUAGAGGGGUUCGUGAAAUUUUAUUCAUCGCAUUCGUGAUGAGGUCAUCGCUAACGCGAAGGAUCAAACAGUGUCAGCCUCGUGAUUACCGAUGAUGGAAUCAAUCUGGACAGAAUUUUUAAUAAUGGCCCUAUUUUUCAGGAAACUUUUCUUGUAAAUAUGAAAGGUAUUUCUGCAUCUCCCAAUUACAAUUUGUAAUUUUUUAAUCUUGUCUCCAAUCAUUUCUUCUUUUUAGUGUCCUGGAUUUUACCGCAAAAUAUGAACAGAUGUUUUGAACCCGUGGAUUGUUAAAUAGAAAGGAAUAUGAUCAUUAAAGUCGAGUUGGGGACAACUCGAGCGUUCA